GACCGUUUCACUACGGAAGGGCUGUAUUUAUUGGAUACCAUAACCAUCCUUCCCUCGGGAAGUUUUGUUUGAUGAUUCACAAUAACUGAUCGGAUCGCUACUGUGGUGGCGACAGGUCAUUCAACAUUCUGCCCUAUCAGCUUUCGAUGGUUGUGUAGUGGACAACCAUGGCCAUAACGGGUAACGGAGAAUCAGGGUUCGAUUCCGGAGAAGGAGCUUGAGAAUUGGCUACUACAUCUAAGGAAGGCAGCAGGCGCGCAAAUUACCCAAUCCCGAUUCGGGGAGGUAGUGACAAAAAAUAACAAUACCGGGCCUUUUUGGGCUUGGUAAUUGGAAUGAGGGAGAGUUAAACGGACCAUCGAGUAUCCAUUGGAGGGCAAGUCUGGUGCCAGCAGCUGCGGUAAUACCAGCUCCAAUAGCGUAUAUUAAAGUUGUUGCAGUUAAAAAGCUCGUAGUUGGACUUGUGUGCGCUGUCCGCGGGUGGCCUGCGCCCAAAAGGGCGUUUCGGUUCGGCCCCGGUGGCGCCUUGAAAUCUGCAGCUGGGGGGACGUUGGCCUUAACUGGUCGGCGACCGCACGCCGGCUGCUCGGUUACUGUGAGAAAAUUAGAGUGUUCGAGGCAGGCAUUGGGUGCAAUUGAAUACAUUAGCAUGGAAUAAUAAAAUAUGGCUCCUGCCGUAUUUUGUUGGUUUUGACUGGUGGGAGUAAUGAUUGAUAGGGACGGUUGGGGGUGCUAGUAUUGAGCGGCCAGAGGUGAAAUUCAUGGAUUCGCUCAAGACUAACUUAUGCGAAAGCAUUCACCAAGGACGUCCUCUUUAAUCAAGAACGAAAGUUGGGGGAUCGAAGACGAUCAGAUACCGUCGUAGUCUCAACCAUAAACUAUGUCGACUUGGGAUCGGCGGUAGUUUUUUUCAUUAAGACACUGUCGGGACCACGGGAGAAAUCAAAGUGUCUGGACUCUGGGGGAAGUAUGGUCGCAAGGCUGAAACUUGAAGGAAUUGACGGAAGGGCACCACCAGGAGUGGAGCCUGCGGCUUAAUUUGACACAACACGGGGAAACUUACCAGGUCCAGAGAUAUAGAGGAUUGACAGAUUGAAGCUCUUUCUUGAUCACUUCGGUGGUGGUGCAUGGCCGUUCUUAGUUGGUGGAGUGAUUUGUCUGGUUAAUUCCGUUAACGAACGAGACCUCAGCCUGCUAGUGUAGUCGGCUGGAUUGCCUUUGGCGAUCCGUGAUUUCGA
rnacentral:rRNA from 1 species